GAGGAGUAUGUCACCACCAGGCACUGAGAGGGCCCAGAGAAUGGUGCCAAUGAGGGGAGGAAGAAACAGAAAUAAGAGAGUCUGAAGAUGCUGUUUUGAUGAGCUCACAGAUUUGCCCAUGACCAGCCCUGGAACCGCACUCGGGGACGACUGGGUUUAGAACCUGGACUGAAAGGAUCAAGAAAGCAAAGUAAAUUGUCCACAGCAUGGAGGCUGGAGCUAUACAACUUGGAUCCAAAUUUCUAUUCAGUUGUCUCUUGACUGUGUGACUUGGGAAGUCCUUCUGUAAAGAAGAGUUGAAGGCUGAAGCCCACGCUUACUCAAUAUGGGGCAUGCUUGCCAGCUCCGUCUUGUCAGUUAUCUCUUGGUGGAUGAUGGGAGGAGGGAAGUGACUCUCAAGAGACAACUAAAAUGGUGCUUUAAGAAAUCCUCAGCCAAUAAAAAGUUGCUUACAGAGGUAUAAGUCUUCUCUCUGUGUCAGCUUUCUUAACCUCCUAAUCUCAACUGUCUAAUUAUGAAUUUACAAGACCCGGGGGACAGCUGUCUUAAGUACCCUGAGAAGAAUGGUCGCGCUCUGUGUGAGCUAAAAUACCCAAGGCUGGGAGCAAGAAA